rnacentral:rRNA from 1 species
AACGAACGCUGGCGGCGUGCCUAACACAUGCAAGUCGUGCGAGAAAGUUCCUUCGGGAGCGAGUAAAGCGGCGCACGGGUGAGUAACACGUAGGUAACCUGCCCCCCAGUCUGGAACAACUAGAGGAAACUCUAGCUAAUGCCGGAUGAGACCACGAUCCCUUCGGGGGUUGCGGCCAAAGAUGGCCUCUACUUGUAAGCUAUCGCUGAGGGAUGGGCCUGCGGGCCAUUAGCUUGUUGGUGAGGUAACGGCUCACCAAGGCUGUGAUGGCUAGCUGGUCUGAGAGGAUGACCAGCCACACUGGGACUGAGACACGGCCCAGACUCCUACGGGAGGCAGCAGUGGGGAAUAUUGCGCAAUGGGCGAAAGCCUGACGCAGCGACGCCGCGUGGGUGAUGAAGG